rnacentral:lncRNA from 1 species
ACCCGGUCCCUUAAGGAAAAUCAAACAACUGUUUGAGGUUGGUGUUUACAAAGGUUUGCUUCUAAAUAAGCUGAGUGUAAACUAAAUAAGAACAGAUGAAGAAAGUAGAAGCUUGAAUCUUUUCUUGUAUUGCAGCUCUUUGUUUUCUCUCUCUUUGCUUUCUUCUUUUCUUCAGCCUUUUAUAGUCCAAGGUGCAAAGGAUAUUUCUGUUGAGAGAAUAUGACCGUUGGAGGGCAUUUCUGGAACUUCCAGAACCUGCUGUGGCUGAACCUUGGUAGAAAGGCUUUUCAGAAUAGUACACUGCUCUUGUACUUCUCGAUAGAGACAUUUGCCUUUAACCAUUGACUUCUGAUCAGAGUUAUGCUUCGUGUUGGAACUUGUGAAGCUUGGUGAUCAGAGUCAGAGGGAUGCUUGGAUCCUCUGACCUUCGUAACUUCUGCUUCUGGACCUUCAGAGCUUCUGAACCUUCAGAGCCUCUGGUCCCUCAGAGCUUCUGGUCUUCAGAUCUUCUGAUCCUCAGAUCUUCUGAUCCUCUGAUCUUCUGAUCCUCUGAUCCUCAGAUCCUCAGAUCCUCAGAACUUAUGACGAAUAUAUCUUCUGGUGUCAGAAUCAGAACCUGUUUGUCAAAACACUCAAGACAAACAUUAGAGUAUCAUAGUUGUUCAUCCACAAAUAAAUACUUGUUAUCAUCAAAACAUAGAGUUGUACCACAUGACCAAAUCUUGAUCUUA